UUGAAGACCGCCGCCCCUCUGCC
rnacentral:piRNA from 1 species